rnacentral:rRNA from 1 species
ACGGCCAGAGAUGGUCGCCCCCUUGUGGUCGGUGUACAGGUGGUGCAUGGUUGUCGUCAGCUCGUGUCGUGAGAUGUUGGGUUAAGUCCCGCAACGAGCGCAACCCUCGUUCUAUGUUGCCAGCGCGUUAUGGCGGGGACUCAUAGGAGACUGCCGGGGUCAACUCGGAGGAAGGUGGGGAUGACGUCAAAUCAUCAUGCCCCUUAUGUCUUGGGCUUCACGCAUGCUACAAUGGCCGGUACAAAGGGCUGCGAUACCGUAAGGUGGAGCGAAUCCCAAAAAGCCGGUCUCAGUUCGGAUUGAGGUCUGCAACUCGACCUCAUGAAAUCGGAAUCGCUAGUAAUCGCAGAUCAGCAACGCUGCGGUGAAAACGUUCCCGGGUCUUGUACACCCCGA